rnacentral:rRNA from 1 species
CGUGCAGGCGGCUCUGUAAGUCGGACGUGAAAGCUCUUGGCUCAACUGAGAGAGGCCGUUCGAUACUGCGGGGCUUGAGGUCGGGAGAGGGAAGUGGAAUUCCCGGUGUAGUGGUGGAAUACGUAGAUAUCGGGAGGAACACCAGUGGCGAAGGCGGCUUCCUGGCCCGUACCUGACGCUAAGACGCGAAAGCGUGGGGAGCGAACG